rnacentral:rRNA from 1 species
GAUUUGGGCACUGUCUCAACGAGAGACUCGGUGAAAUCAUAGUACCUGUGAAGAUGCAGGUUACCCGCGACAGGACGGAAAGACCCCGUGGAGCUUUACUGUAGCCUGAUAUUGAAAUUCGGCACAGCUUGUACAGGAUAGGUAGGAGCCUUUGAAACGUGAGCGCUAGCUUACGUGGAGGCGCUGGUGGGAUACUACCCUAGCUGUGUUGGCUUUCUAACCCGCACCACUUAUCGUGGUGGGAGACAGUGUCAGGCGGGCAGUUUGACUGGGGCGGUCGCCUCCUAAAAGGUAACGGAGGCGCUCAAAGGUUCCCUCAGAAUGGUUGGAAAUCAUUCAUAGAGUGUAAAGGCAUAAGGGAGCUUGACUGCGAGACCUACAAGUCGAG